CCGGGUUGUCGCCUCGAAACGACGCGGGGGAGAGGCGUUAGCGGAUGGAAGCAACAGUAUUUUGAUACCGCCGCGGGUAGAUGCGUGGGGCUCGUAUGUGACAUCGCACGUAGUGAAUGUGCAGGCUAGUGGUGCCCUGGAGAGACCACAGCGACACCACUACUUUGGAUGGCGAGCUAGGCCCAACGAGCCAGAACCCCAGCUACAACUUCCUGCGGUCUGGUAGGAGGCUGCUGCGGCCUACACUCUCCCCCCCUGGUUUUCAG